GUUGUUUUGUCAAACGGUUACAUGUGCAAGGGGGCAAUGAAUAUGUGCUGGUAUUUGUUUCUUCUUAUUGCAGUAGCGCCCUCGCUGGAAAAAGCUGCAAAUGGUACCUCGAAGUAUCCCAAUCCACCUC